CAGCAGCCGCGGGAAUACGAGGGGUGCAAGCGUUAAUCGGAAUUACUGGGCGUAAAGCGUGCGUAGGCGGUGAGUUAAGUCUGCUGUGAAAUCCCCGGGCUCAACCUGGGAAUGGCAGUGGAUACUGGCUCGCUAGAGUGUGUCAGAGGAUGGUGGAAUUCCCGGUGUAGCGGUGAAAUGCGUAGAGAUCGGGAGGAACAUCAGUGGCGAAGGCGGCCAUCUGGGACAACACUGACGCUGAGGCACGAAAGCGUGGGGAGCAAACAGGAUUAGAUACCCCAGUAGUCCCUGUCUCUUAUAA
rnacentral:rRNA from 1 species